CCUACGGGUGGCAGCAGUGAGGAAUAUUGGUCAAUGGACGCAAGCCUGAACCAGCCAUGCCGCGUGCAGGAAGACGGCCCUACGAGUUGUAAACUGCUUUUAUACGGGGAUAAACGGAGAUACGCGUAUCUUUCUGUAUGUACCUUAUGAAUAAGGAUCGGCUAACUCCGUGCCAGCAGCCGCGGUACUACGGAGGAUUCGAGCGUUAUCCGGAUUUAUUGGGUUUAAAGGGAGCGUAGGUGGUUUGUUAAGUCAGUUGUGAAAUCUCGCGGCUCAACCUUGCAAUUGCAUGUGAUACUGGUCGGCGUGAGUGCAGUUGAGGUAGGCGGAAUGCGUGGUGUAGCGGUGAAAUGCUUAGAGAUCAGGAAGAACACCGAUUGCGAAGGCAGCUUACUAAGCUGCUACUGACGUUGAUGCUCGAAAGCGUGGGGAGCAAACAGGAUUAGAUACCCUUGUAGUC
rnacentral:rRNA from 1 species